CUGCAGCAUUAACUUUGUUGGUAUUUGGAUCCCAUGUAACACCUGUAUGUCCCAAAAGUUCAGAGAACAUGCGAUGAAUUUUACGUAAGCGGUUCCACUUUCCCUUUAAUCUAUCUAUGCCGUAAUCCAUUUUUGUUGCAGCUAUCAUGGUCUCAUUGAUCUUGCCCCAUUCGUCUUUCGUGAAUGUAGAACAUUGCAAUGCGUUUGAUUUGACUUUCUCGUAAAGCAUUUCAAUAAAAGCAUGUUCAUUCUCGUCCGACCAUGACAUUGGUUCCUUAUUCCUAACUCUGUGACCACCCAUGUUGAAGCUAUACUGAAUAUACAUAAAAUUAUCAAUCUAUAUUAAUGUAUUUAAU
rnacentral:lncRNA from 1 species